GGGAAGGGAAGGGAAGGGAAAUUAAGGGAAGGGAAGGGAAGGGAAGGAAAAGGAAGGGAAGGGAAAGGAAGGGAAGGGAUGAAGUGUCUGAUAAAUGAGUGUCCGAUUGAUGAAUUAGAUGCAGAAAAACUUAACCAGACCAAACGCAAGACAUCAAAUUUAAACAGAAGAAAACUACUCUAUCUAUACUAUACAAGGAAGGAGGGAAGGAAAUGGUGCUCUCUCGGACCCUCUACAACCAAGGAGGGAAUGAUGAAUGCUUGGAAGAAUGACCACACUAAUAAUAAUGAUAAUAAUAAUAAUAAUAAUAAUAAUAAUAAUAAUAAUAAUAAUGAUAAUAAUGAUAAUAAUAAUGAGGGUGAUAUAACUAAGGACUAAUUUAGUUUUAUAAUUUACCAUAUAAUAUAAUUUGGAGGUGCUUGUUUGGGGAGGAGGAGGAGGAGGAGGAGGAAGAAGAAGAAGGGGGAGGUGGAGGAGAAAAGGAGGGGGAAAAGAAGAAGAGAGGAGGAGGAGGGAGGAGGGAAGGGGAGGAAGAGUAGAGGAGGAAAAAGAAGUGAAGAGGAGAAGAGGAAGGAAUGGAGGAGGAGGAGCAGGAGGAGGAGGAGGAGGAGGAGGAGGAAGAGGAAAGGAGGGGGAAAAGAAGAGAGGAGGAGGAAGGGGAGGAAGAGGAGGAGGAAGAUGAAGGAAGAAGGAAGGAGGAUGGAAGGAGGAAGAGAAAAGGAAGAAGGGAAGAGUGAUAAUGGAGAGGUAAGGUCAGGUUAGGUCAGGUCAAGUUAAGGUCAGGUCAAAGGUAAGGUCAGUGUGGGGUCAUGGAAGACAGUGUAGGGUUACUUACAAUAGGAACAGUAAUAGUUAAGUAAAGUUAGGUAAGGUAAGGUUAGGUAAGGUCAAGUCAAGUUAAGUUAGGGAAAGGUCAAAGGCAAGGUCAGUGUGAGGUCAUGGAAGGGAGUGUGGGGUUACUUACAAUAGGGACAGUAACAGUUAAAGUUAGGUAAGGUUAGGUAAGGUCAAGUUAAGUUAAGGUUAGGUCAAGUCAAGUUAAGGUCAGGUCAAAGGUAAGGUCAGUGUGGGUUCAUGGAAGGGAGUGUGGGGUUACUUACAAUAGGGACAGUAACAGUUAAGUAAAGUUAGGUAAGGUAAGAUUAGGUAAGGUCAAGUCAAGUUAAGGUCAGGUCAAAGGUAAGGUCAGUGUGGGGUCAUGGAAGGGAGUGUGGGGUUACUUACAAUAGGAACAGUAAUAGUCAAGUAAAGUUAGGUAAGGUAAGGUUAGGUAAGGUCAGGCCAGGUUAAGUUAGGGAAAGGUCAAAGGCAAGGUCAGUGAGGGGUCAUGGAAGGGAGUGUGGGGUUACUUACAAUAGGGACAAUAACAGUUAAGUAAAGUUAGGUAAGGUAAGAUUAAGUAAGGUCAGGUCAGGUUAAGUUAGGGAAAGGUCAAAGGCAAGGUCAGUGUGGGGUCAUGGAAGGGAGUGUGGGGUUACUUACAAUAGGAACAGUAACAGUUAAGUAAAGUUAGGUAAGGUAAGAUUAGGUAAGGUCAGGUUAAGUUAAGGUCAGGUCAAAGGCAGCAGUGUAGGGCAAGGAGGUCAGUGCGGGGUUACUUACAAAAGGGACAGUAAUAGUUAAAGUAAAGUUAGAUAAGACUAGGUAAGGUCAGGUCAAAGGUAAGGUCAGUGUGGGGUCAGUGCUUCCAAUACAGUCACAAGCAAGAGGUGCAUACGAUACCAACCGCCUGUGUGGGGUGGCCGGGCGGGGGGGAGGGGUGCAGUGUGGGGUAAGGGGGAGG